rnacentral:rRNA from 1 species
GUCCCUAUCUACUAUCUAGCGAAACCACAGCCAAGGGAACGGGCUUGGAAUCAUUAGCGGGGAAAGAAGACCCUGUUGAGCUUGACUCUAGUUUGGCACUGUAAGAAGACAUAAGAGGUGUAGCAUAAGUGGGAGAUAGGCUUGCUUAUCAACAAUGAAAUACCACUACUUUUAUCGUUUUCUUACUUACUUGAUUAAAUGGAGAAUGCACUUUCAUUCAUACCAUGUUUGUAUUGUGACUCUGUCAUCUUUACUCACAUGACUAUGAUGAUCUUGUGCACUUUUCUCGAUCCAAGUGUCAUGAACCGUUGGUACGUUUGUAUGACUGAGGUGUUUACACUGAAGUCAGAGUAUUAACAUUUUAUGGUUAAGACACGAUCCAAGUCAGGGACACUGCCAGGUGGGGAGUUUGACUGGGGCGGUACAUCUCUAAAACAAUA